UACGUAGGCAGCAAGCGUUGUUCGGAAUUACUGGGCGUAAAGAGUGUGUAGGCGGUGCUCCAAGUCUGGUGUGAAAUCUCCCGGCUUAACUUGGAGGGUGCAUUAGAAACUGGAAUGCUAGAGGAUGGGAGAGGUAAGCGGAAUUCCUGGUGUAGCGGUGAAAUGCGUAGAUAUCAGGAGGAACACCUGUGGUGUAGACAGCUUACUGGACCAUUUCUGACGCUGAGACGCGAAAGCUAGGGGAGCAAACAGG
rnacentral:rRNA from 1 species